GGUAAAUCAGGAAAAUCAGGUGUCUGAGAUAAUGUCCUUUUGUCUUUGUGCUCUUCCUUGCCAUUUGGCUUUUUAAGCUUAAGGCACAGCUGUGCCUUUUGUCUCUAUGAUAAUGUGAAGGUAUCAGCGAUACUGCCAGGCACCUCUGUAUUUAAAUGACACUGUUAUGCUGAUGAAAUCAAGGCUGGGAAGAUGCCAGUUACUGGCACUUUCCUGAUUGCAUUUGCAUGCUUUGUUCAAAGUGUCUCCACCUCUACCGUAUGGAUCCCUCCCACUUGAAUGUAUAUAAUCUACAAUGUCUUAAGGACAUGUUAGACUUUUGAUGACUGCAGUGCCACGCAGAGCAUUCUCAAUAAAGAAUCCUGCUGAAGAUUACCCAAGAGUCUCCUGGUCUUCGUUUCCGAGUUCCCAACAGUUUUUGGUGCCGUGACCCGGAUAGAGCUUCUCACCUGAAUCCAGAUUGAAACUGCAAUCUCAACAAAGAUUUGACUUCAUUCCAGACUGAAUCUUUCUGUACAACCAAUGGUUGGUGAGUGUACCUCUAUCCAAAAAAACCUUUAAGACCAGAACAAAUGUGUUAUCCUCUGCGCCGUCAGAGAAGAGUUAACAGACAGCUGUAGGGUUUGGUUAACUAAGUUACCCUCUAAAAAUUAUAUUUUAGAGAUGAAAGUAAUCCUCUGUUUAGCCAGGGAAGAUUAGCAUCACAUGCUAAUAUUUUGCUACCCUCUGUGUCUGGCAGGGAAGUUUAGCAUAAAGUGCUAAUAGUUUGUGUUUUUAUCCUCUGCUUGCCAAGGAAGUGUUAGAAGUGCCCUCUUGUAUCAGAAAGACUUUACAAAAUGUUGAGAAGGAAUCCUAAGCUGAUUCCAACAACUAAGAAAGGUGGACUAGCUACUCCUUCAUGGACAGACAGUGAGUUCAAAUCAUUGUUAGGACAGCACAUGGACUCAAUAGUGACAGAGUCAGUCAGAUUGGAUUUGAUAAAGAAAUUUUGUAUUGAUCCAGAAAAAGUUUGGUCAAUUGAAGAAUGUAAAAAGGUACUAGGAUCAUGUAUUCGCAAAAACAAUGCGAAAAGCAUUAUCUGCUGCCACAGAGAAUUUGGUUUAGCACUAGCUACACAACAUUCUCAGCGUACCUCAGAACUAGAGGAACAGAACAAAGAGCUCAGAGCUAGAGUAUCCUCUUUGACUAAGAAAUUGAAUCGCAACAAAGCUGCAGCAAAAACUGAUGUGAAAGACGUUAGUCAGACUGAUAACAAUUAUCCUGACUUACAAGCUUUCUUUGAAACAGAUGUAGCCAUCCAGUCAGUAACUGAUGUCCCUGUAGAUUCAGUAAAGGUAUGUGCUACUUGGGAAAGAAACUCUGAUGUCAAAGCCAGAGUAAAGAUUGCAGCAGCAUCUUUUCAGGUCAAAACAGAGAACCGACAGAAAUGUAAAAGUCCUAAGAAAGAGGGCAGUUGUCAUUUUUGUGGUAAAACUUGACACUGGAUGAAAGAGUGUAGGAAAAGCAAGAAGACAUUAAGAGAAAUUAACAGCUUUACUCAGCUCCUACUCAGUCUACUUACUACGCUGAAUCUGCCCCUCCCCACGUCACCUAACUGUUGGAGCAGCUUGCUCAGGUGUUAACUGUAAGGGCUGUGAGUGCUUAACUUCCCAGUAACGUACAACAAAGAUGAAAGAUCCUUUGUAAAUACAUUGACUUUCACUUCCUUUCAUUGAGAGAACGUUAAGUAAACUCACAGCCUUCAAAGCUAUACUAAAGCACAUUCCAGUCACUCCUAUUCUUUUUGGGUUAUGAUGUCUUGUUAUGACUAAUGUUUCAUUAGAGGAUGGAGAUGUCACCCAGUAAAGUUCGCACACCAACUACAGGGACACACUAGGACACACACAGACCAGUGAGGAGCCCAGGGAAGAACCGAAAUGCAACAGGCAUCGGGGGCCAACUCUGUGUUGAAGACUUCCUCAUAGGUUUCCCCUAUCCGUAGCUUUAUCCCCACCUCACUGGUCCAUAGGUGUCAAAUUACUUAAAACUAGGUUGAGAAAAACACUAUACGAUCACCAGACUUAAAACCACUAUAUGAUCUACAGAAGUCUAAAAAUGUCUAUGCAUGAAUACUGCUGGUCUGCUGUUUCUUUGUUUUCUUGUGUUGCAGGUAUGUGUGCAUGAGAAGUCAUUUCCAUAUGUGACACCUUGGUGUAAAGCAUCACUUCAGACAUCCACUAACAAGCUUCAUGAGGACAAAGAGUCAUCUGAGUGAAUCUACGUGCAAAAUGGACUACAGAAAACAGACUUCACAGCUAUUCAGACGCCAUGGACUUCAAGACUUCCACUCUUAUGCUACAUGAUUUUUCUGUUUCGUCAUGUAGGUUGUACAACGUAUUACCAUCCAUGCCAUAUGUGUCAACAGUUAUGGUUCUAAAAAUACACCUAAGUAAAUCUAGGACAAGACACAGAAUAAGUUAUACGUGCCUGUAACCUUUUCAAGUUACAUGACUGAAGAUGGGGCUUGUGUUAACAAACAUAGGCCAUAGAAUGGACUUUUGAAGGUUUAAAUUUGUGUUAUGUGAGAGUUAUUAGAACUCUUAACAGGAGGACUGUGGGAUUACAAAUUUAUAAAAUGUUAAAUCUAGGUUCCAAUGUAAUAGCAUAUGAACGGAAAACGUUUUGGUAUACAUUUUGGAGGUAAAUCAGGAAAAUCAGGUGUCUGAGAUAAUGUCCUUUUGUCUUUGUGCUCUUCCUUGCCAUUUGGCUUUUUAAGCUUAAGGCACAGCUGUGCCUUUUGUCUCUAUGAUAAUGUGAAGGUAUCAGCGAUACUGCCAGGCACCUCUGUAUUUAAAUGACACUGUUAUGCUGAUGAGAUCAAGGCUGGGAAGAUGCCAGUUACUGGCACUUUCCUGAUUGCAUUUGCAUGCUUUGUUCAAAGUGUCUCAUGGAUCCCUCCCACUUGAAUGUAUAUAAUCUACAAUGUCUUAAGGACAAGUUAGACUUUUGAUGACUGCAGCGCCACGCAGAGCGUUCUCAAUAAAGAAUCCUGCUGAAGAUUACCCAAGAGUCUCCUGGUCUUCGUUUCUGAGUUCCCAACAGCCUAUAAUUUGCCAGUACACUAGGAUCUAGUUUUGGUUUCUUAAUCAGAGGC